rnacentral:SRP_RNA from 1 species
GCCGGGCACGGUGGCUCACGCCUGUAAUCCCAGCACUUUAGGAGGCCAAGGUGGGUGGAUCAUGAGGUCAGGAGCUCAAGACCAGCCUGGCCAACAUAAUGAAACCCCAUCUCUACUAAAAUACAAAAANNNNNNNNNNGAGAUGGGGUUUCAUUAUGUUGGCCAGGCUGGUCUUGAGCUCCUGACCUCAUGAUCCACCCACCUUGGC